GGAAAGAAAACCUCCGCCCUAAUAUGGUGGGGGGAUGACGGUACCGGAAGAAUAAGCACCGGCUAACUACGUGCCAGCAGCCGCGGUAAUACGUAGGGUGCAAGCGUUAAUNGGAAUUACUGGGCGUAAAGCGUGCGCAGGCGGUCCGCUAAGACAGAUGUGAAAUCCCCGGGCUUAACCUGGGAACUGCAUUUGUGACUGGCGGGCUAGAGUAUGGCAGAGGGGGGUAGAAUUCCACGUGUAGCAGUGAAAUGCGUAGAGAUGUGGAGGAAUACCGAUGGCGAAGGCAGCCCCCUGGGCCAAUACUGACGCUCAUGCACGAAAGCGUGGGGAGCAAACAGGAUUAGAUACCCUGGUAGUCCACGCCCUAAACGAUGUCAACUAGUUGUUGGGGAUUCAUUUCCUUAGUAACGUAGCUAACGCGUGAAGUUGACCGCCUGGGGAGUACGGUCGCAAGAUUAAAACUCAAAGGAAUUGACGGGGACCCGCACAAGCGGUGGAUGAUGUGGAUUAAUUCGAUGCAACGCGAAAAACCUUACCUACCCUUGACAUGUAUGGAAUCCUGCUGAGAGGUGGGGGUGCCCGAAAGGGAGCCAUAACACAGGUGCUGCAUGGCUGUCGUCAGC
rnacentral:rRNA from 1 species